GAUAAACGCUGGCGGCGUGCCUAAUACAUGCAAGUCGAGCGAACGGACGAGAAGCUUGCUUCUCUGAUGUUAGCGGCGGACGGGUGAGUAACACGUGGAUAACCUACCUAUAAGACUGGGAUAACUUCGGGAAACCGGAGCUAAUACCGGAUAAUAUUUUGAACCGCAUGGUUCAAAAGUGAAAGACGGUCUUGCUGUCACUUAUAGAUGGAUCCGCGCUGCAUUAGCUAGUUGGUAAGGUAACGGCUUACCAAGGCAACGAUGCAUAGCCGACCUGAGAGGGUGAUCGGCCACACUGGAACUGAGACACGGUCCAGACUCCUACGGGAGGCAGCAGUAGGGAAUCUUCCGCAAUGGGCGAAAGCCUGACGGAGCAACGCCGCGUGAGUGAUGAAGGUCUUCGGAUCGUAAAACUCUGUUAUUAGGGAAGAACAUAUGUGUAAGUAACUGUGCACAUCUUGACGGUACCUAAUCAGAAAGCCACGGCUAACUACGUGCCAGCAGCCGCGGUAAUACGUAGGUGGCAAGCGUUAUCCGGGAUUAUUGGGCGUAAAGCGCGCGUAGGCGGUUUUUUAGUCUGAUGUGAAAGCCCACGGCUCAACCGUGGAGGGUCAUUGGAAACUGGAAAACUUGAGUGCAGAAGAGGAAAGUGGAAUUCCAUGUGUAGCGGUGAAAUGCGCAGAGAUAUGGAGGAACACCAGUGGCGAAGGCGACUUUCUGGUCUGUAACUGACGCUGAUGUGCGAAAGCGUGGGGAUCAAACAGGAUUAGAUACCCUGGUAGUCCACGCCGUAAACGAUGAGUGCUAAGUGUUAGGGGGUUUCCGCCCCUUAGUGCUGCAGCUAACGCAUUAAGCACUCCGCCUGGGGAGUACGACCGCAAGGUUGAAACUCAAAGGAAUUGACGGGGACCCGCACAAGCGGUGGAGCAUGUGGUUUAAUUCGAAGCAACGCGAAGAACCUUACCAAAUCUUGACAUCCUUUGACAACUCUAGAGAUAGAGCCUUCCCCUUCGGGGGACAAAGUGACAGGUGGUGCAUGGUUGUCGUCAGCUCGUGUCGUGAGAUGUUGGGUUAAGUCCCGCAACGAGCGCAACCCUUAAGCUUAGUUGCCAUCAUUAAGUUGGGCACUCUAAGUUGACUGCCGGUGACAAACCGGAGGAAGGUGGGGAUGACGUCAAAUCAUCAUGCCCCUUAUGAUUUGGGCUACACACGUGCUACAAUGGACAAUACAAAGGGCAGCGAAACCGCGAGGUCAAGCAAAUCCCAUAAAGUUGUUCUCAGUUCGGAUUGUAGUCUGCAACUCGACUACAUGAAGCUGGAAUCGCUAGUAAUCGUAGAUCAGCAUGCUACGGUGAAUACGUUCCCGGGUCU
rnacentral:rRNA from 1 species